rnacentral:lncRNA from 1 species
UGGUCAAGUGGUAGAAGUGCAAAGAGAUAAAGAUGCUCAACAAAUCACUUAGAUUUUACCCUUUCAGCUCAAGAAGAUCAACCUAGAGAAUCAGGUACCCUUCGUGGAGUUGUCAUUUACUGAACACAGGAAAUGUGAAUGCAGGCCCCGACAAGAUGCUCUGAAGUCAGGGAGGUAAGUAGCAUUAGUAAAGAUUCUGGAGGCUGGGACUCUCUGCAAUGUCUUAUCUCCCAUCCACUCUUUUCCCCACCUUUCCUCCAAAAGGAGGAGGAGACUCAAGGGACGCAGCAAGAAGAAGCGGGAAAAGCAGAGACCCAAAAAUUGAUCUCCAUGUGUGCCAUUUGAUGAUAGUUGUUGCUUUCUCAGCCAAGGGCAGUGCGCAAUGCCUCUUUUUAAAUGCUAAGUCCUCUUCAACAUUCCUCUGAAGUUACAAUUUUGACUGAUGGAUUCAGGGGUCUGAUAACAGCUUGCUCACUUGAAGUAAGAGCAAAAAGGGAGGAGUAAAGACGACAUCCCAGUGAGAAUAUGUCAGGACAUUCUGAGGGAGAUGGUUUUUAUAUAUAUAUAUAUAUAUAAUUGCAUCAGAGGACUGCUGCCAGGAUCAAAUGAAGACCUGUUUAUCUCAGUCCAUUCCCUUUCUACAUAAAGCUAAUAUUUCACUCUGGUUUCUGCAGAAUUGAGAGUAAAAUGGAAAUACAAGAAAACAGCAGCAGGUUUAUGUUUCAAAUAUUUGGAGUUUAGAGAACUUAAACUAUUAAGACAAAUGUGAAUACUUCCUCCUGGAUAUUUUCUGGAUAUUGUCUCUCAGUUGGGAAUUGAGAAAUGAAAGGGAAGAAAAGUUUGAGCUAAACUUUACCAAUCCUAAGUCUUGUUUUUCACCAGGGCUAAUACCCAGAGAACACGCCUUCCUAUAAAACAUGUCUAAAACAGCAAGUUAACCUUGAUAAAUAAGAGCUAUAACUCCUUAUCAAAUAAUAUUCUAGAAGUCAGUAUUUCAGAAAUCAGAGCCCCAGGCAAGGAAAUGAGAGCAGAGAACGUAGUUCCUGCUCAAGUUCCUAUCAAUUUAGUGUACAUGUAGGCCUUUGUUGCCCCAGGAAAAUUAGUUCUGGAUUAUCCCCGCAAAAUCAUUUUUCUCAAGAAAAUAUAA